rnacentral:rRNA from 1 species
UUUAACUGAGCGUUCAGUUACUUGACGUAGACCCGAAACCGGGCGACCUACCCAUGAGCAGGAUGAAGCGAAAGUAAAAUUUCGUGGAGGUCCGAACCCACGAGCGUUGAAAAGCUCGGGGAUGACUUGUGGGUAGCGGUGAAAUUCCAAUCGAGCCCGGAGAUAGCUGGUUCUCCCCGAAAUAGCUUUAGGGCUAGCCUCAAGGUGAGAGAUACGGAGGUAGAGCACUGAAUGUCCUAGGGGGUAUUGCACCUACCGAAGACUAUCAAACUCCGAAUGCCGUCAUCUUAUACUUGGGAGUCAGACUGUGGGUGAUAAGAUUCAUAGUCGAAAGGGCAACAGCCCAGAUCGUCAGCUAAGGUCCCUAAAUGUAAGUUAAGUGGUAAAGGAUGUGGGAUUGCACAGACAACCAGGAUGUUGGCUUAGAAGCAGCCACUCAUUCAAAGAGUGCGUAAUAGCUCACUGGUCGAGUGAUCCUGCGCCGAAGAUUUCCGGGGCUAAAACUUACUACCGAAGCUACGGCAUCAGUAAUGAUGGGUAGGGGAGCUUCCCAUACGGGUUGAAGCAUGACCGUAAGGACAUGUGGACAGUAUGGGAGUGAGAAUGUUGGCAUGAGUAGCGAGAUGUGGGUGAGAAUCCCACAGGCCGUAAACCCAAGGUUUCCAGGGGAAGGUUCGUCCACCCUGGGUUAGUCGGGACCUAAGCUGAGGCCGAAAGGCGUAGGU